GAAUAUGAUGAUUGUACUUUGUCGCCCCAGUCUAACAAGCAUUUACAUGUAAAUGCUUGAUGGUGAUUGACAAUUAGAUCUGAUUC